AAAAAGCAUGUGAGCGAGGUCAAAACACACUAAAAAGACUCGUGUUGGUUUGUGAGGUCAAUCGACAAUGCUUAAAGUCAUAUGGGACGUUACAAUAUAAUGCUAGUAAUAUCCAACCCAUGAUUCAUCGCCGAGUUAAUACUUUAGGAUAACUCAUACAUGUUCCAAAUUUUACGACUACUUGGACAUGUAAAGAAAAUGUGAACACUAUUCUCAUCAUCCGUGUUGCACAAUACCUUACCAUCGUAAAAGAGGCAAGGUAUUUCAAAUUUUCAUCUUAAUUGUGAAAAUUUCACCGCAUUCAAGGUGUUAUAAGUCGAUUAUUAAAUAACCAGC
rnacentral:lncRNA from 1 species